ensembl:snRNA U6 U6 spliceosomal RNA
AUGCUCACUUCAUCAGCACAUAUACUAAAAUUGGAACAAUACAGAGAUUAGCCUGGCCCCUGUGCAAAGAUGACAUGCAAAUUCGUGAAGUGUUUCAGAUUUUA